rnacentral:lncRNA from 1 species
AUGAUUUAAUGGUUACUCCUAAAACAAUAAAAGCAAGCUUUCUACAAUUACUGUCCUUGUCCACAGCUUAGGAAAGACACUGGAGACAGACUUAGUUGGCCCAUUUUCACUCCAGGCUCCGUCUCUUGGGACCUGGGUGAUCCUGAGCAAGUUGGUUGAUUUUACCACCUGAGCAGCUGUGACAAGACCAAGGACAGACUGGGCUGAACUGUGGCUACCCCAUGACCUGGGCUCAUGGACAGGGACAUCUUUCAUUCAUACCGAAGGAUUCUGUUCAGCAAUCUUCAGUGGGUGGAGCCCUCAGCUUGAAAGAAGGAGAAAGUAGAAGGGAAACGUUGGGGCUUGUGUAAGCUUUAAGCCUGACCACACGCA